GCGUCCUUCUGUUCUCUUCUUCUUCAAUUUCAUCACACAAGAACCAGUCUUCGCCGGUUCUAUACUUUUUUUUUCUCCUAAAGAAAAAUGGCAUCUCAUGUUGUUGGAUAUCCCCGUAUGGGCCCAAAGAGAGAGCUGAAAUUCGCUCUUGAGUCUUUCUGGGAUGGAAAGAGCAGUGCUGAGGAUUUGAAGAAGGUCUCUGCAGACCUCAGGUCAUCCAUCUGGAAGCAGAUGUGUGAUACUGGCAUUAAGUACAUCCCCAGCAACACAUUCUCUUACUAUGAUCAGGUGCUCGACACAACCGCAAUGCUUGGUGCUGUCCCAUCUAGGUACAACUGGACCGGUGGUGAGAUUGAGUUCGCUACUUACUUCUCCAUGGCCAGAGGAAAUGCUUCCGUCCCUGCUAUGGAGAUGACCAAGUGGUUCGACACCAACUACCACUUCAUCGUCCCUGAGUUGGGACCUGAUGUUAACUUUUCAUAUGCUUCCCACAAGGCAGUAAAUGAGUACAAAGAGGCCAAGGCGCAAGGAGUAGACACUGUUCCAGUUCUUGUUGGUCCAGUUUCAUACUUGUUGCUAUCCAAGCCUGCUAAGGGUGUUGACAAAUCUUUCCCACUUUUGUCACUUCUGGACAAAAUCCUUCCAAUUUACAAGGAAGUUAUCGCUGAGUUGAAGGCAGCUGGUGCUUCUUGGAUCCAGUUAGAUGAGCCCACACUUGUGUUGGAUCUAGAGUCUCACAAAUUGGAAGCAUUCACCAAGGCCUAUGCUGAUCUCGAGUCAUCUCUAUCUGGCCUUAAUGUUCUCGUUGAGACCUACUUUGCUGAUGUUCCCGCCGAGGCAUUCAAAACCCUCACUGCUUUGAAGGGAGUUACUGCCUUUGGCUUUGACUUGGUCCGUGGAACUCAGACCCUUGAGUUAAUCAAGAGUAGCUUCCCUUCAGGCAAGUACUUGUUUGCAGGAGUGGUUGACGGAAGGAACAUCUGGGCAAAUGAUCUUGCUGCAUCUCUUGCUCUCCUGCAAACUCUUGAGGGAGUUGUAGGAAAAGACAAGCUUGUUGCCUCUACAUCUUGCUCCCUACUCCACACUGCUGUUGAUCUGAUCAACGAGACAAAACUUGACGAUGAAAUCAAGUCAUGGUUGGCAUUUGCUGCCCAGAAGGUUGUUGAAGUGAAUGCUUUGGCCAAGGCCUUGGCUGGUGAAAAGGAUG
rnacentral:misc_RNA from 1 species